rnacentral:rRNA from 1 species
UACGUAGGGGGCAAGCGUUGUCCGGAAUUAUUGGGCGUAAAGAGCGCGUAGGCGGUCCGGUAAGUCGGUUGUGAAAGUCGGGGGCUCAACCCUCGGAUGCCGAUCGAUACUGUCGGGCUAGAGUCCGGAAGAGGCGAGUGGAAUUCCUGGUGUAGCGGUGAAAUGCGCAGAUAUCAGGAGGAACACCAUGGCGAAGGCAGCUCGCUGGGACGGUACUGACGCUGAGGCGCGAAAGCUAGGGGAGCAAACGGG